rnacentral:rRNA from 1 species
CUAUGCAAGAGGGAGUCUGAGACGGCGGCACAUUUACUGUUCAAGUGCAGAUACUCCACCCGCAUAUGGAACGCGGUGAGAUGCUGGUUGGAUGCGCCUGAGCUGGACACUAUCGCUUGGGCAGGGAUCCCAACGGUCCAGGAGUGGUGGACGACUGUGCUCGAGCGUGGGCACCGGAGAAAGGCCGUAUCCUCACUUAUAUCGCUUGUAUACUGGGAGGUUUGGAAAGAGAGAAAUGCGAGGGUGUUUUAGAAGAAAUCUUCUAUGCCAACAAGCGUGUUCGCGGGCAUCAAAAUAGAGGCCCAAAAUUGGGUCUUGGCCGGAGCUAAACACUUGGGAUCAUUGAUGCCGUGA